UCUAUCUAUAACUUCACAUACUCCUUCUUCUCGAGCAGCCAAAGUGGUUUACUGACCACAGCAUCAUCUUCUCAUGCUUUUACAAGUGCUUACAAUAUCUGCAUCUUCUUUUGUGGAUUCAGUCGUACUUGAAGGGUUUUUAGGUAAGAAGAGAUUUUGGAAUAAGUAAUUGAUUUUGUCACGAUUUUAGAAUUUAAAACUUAGGGUUCAUAUAUUUGAUGGUAAAUUUGGGGGAUUUUCAAUGUUGUCCAACAAAAGUUUAAAUUCGAUUCAGUCGCCAUUACCAAGACUACCUCAAUCAUCUCCCGUCUCCAUCAACAAAACAGUGGCAGAAGAUGAUGCAAACUUUUUAAUGCCAAGCCUCAUUCAUGUCUCAUACUUCCUUUUAAAUUAUGGGCCAGGUGGUAUAAGCAUUCAAAAUAACAGGCAUCCACCAGUUGUUUUCAAUAAAUUAUUUUUUGAAUAGGACAUAAAUGUUGACGGGAAUGGGAAGGGACUGGACUUGAAAAUCCCAAACUAAGGAUCAUUAUGGGACUAGAGAUCAAGUGAGCAAGGAGCCACAAGUGAUCAGUUACAACAGGUGGUUUUGGGGACAAUUGACCAUAUGGAUGCUGUCUUUGCAAUAUAGCGAAGCUGUUGAUUUCUUAUUUCGGCAGAUUUUUAUAAGUACGGUUUGCUAUCAAGGGAGCUUUAAAAGGUUUAAAAUGUACCUGGAUAUAUUUGAAAGAUGUAAUGCAUGCAUUGCUGGCAUUGGUACGUAGGAGUUGAUCUUGCACUUUAAGUUGGUAAAGCAUUAGCAAUAUAAGUUGUUUUUGUUGAGGCGUCUUUGUUUAAUCCAUUAUCAGUUUCUUUUGCUUAGGGUAUGAGAAAUAUUGGAGAGAAACCCGGGUUUGUUUGGAAAAGAUUCAAAUCGAUGCUACCGUUAAUUGGGGAGAAUCAAAAUGAAUGUGUAGGUUUUUAAGAAUGGGAAAGUUUAUGCAUAACUCAUGAAAUAGGUUCUUCAUUUAUAUGCCAAAAAAUAGUGAUACAUUUAUUGUUUUGCCGAUCCUGAAAUGAAAUAGGACCAAGUAGUAGUAAGUCUUUAGGAAGAAAAAUGCAGACCCGAUCGAAGCUUUUUGUGAUGUCAAAAUCCAAAGAUUUUUAGGCUUAUCGGUUAGCACAUUGGUGGAAAGAUGACUUAGAGCUUCAGAUGGCCAGCUCUUAACAACAAUAAGCUCAUAGAUAGAAAGCUCAAGUCUCUAUAUGCCCUCUCACUAAUUGUUCUACGAUUACUGUAAAUCGCAGCUGUGAAUUUAAAAGUUAUUCUCUAAUGAACUUAUAGGAUACUUCGAGAACAUGGGCCUGCUUGACCUCCUGAUCUCUGUGAAUGGUGAGACCUUGAACCAAGGUAAUUCAUUGUAUUUUAUUUUGCUGAAUAAAGGCCAACUUGAGUAAUAAAACUGUAGCUUCUAAUGCUACUGCUGCUAAAGCAGGUGAAUGAACUUUAAUCAAAUGUAUAUAUGUCUUCUGAUGUGAUGGGUGUAGCUCAUAUUCUUUAUUAUAUAUGUCAUCUAUUGUUACUUCAAUUACGUACACUCUAGAUUUAGCCCUCUUUCUCAGAGGAACGAAAUUUCCUCCUCUCACCUUUAGCAUACUUCACUGUAGCUUGCUUUGGAUUUUGAUGUGAAUUUCGACAAUCUCGGACUAUAUCAACAUGUGACUCACUUUCUUUACAAACCUCUCCAUUCACUAUCAUCUUAUUUUGUUUUAUUUCUUAUUGCAGCCAAGGGACCUCAUCAAACUAUGAAACAAACUAUGAAAGAACUCUUUCUUGAUGUUUUGAACGCAACUAACUUCUCAUUAGAAGUUCAAAUGCAAAAACAAGCAGUUAAUGAAAGCUGGAAGUCACUUCCUUUCAAGAACUUUUGGUAGGAGAACCCACUUUCAUUUUACAACAUUGAAUCAGAAGACAGAAGAGGUACCUGAAGCACUCUCCGAAGAGGUUCUUGGAAAGAUGGGUGCGCCACCAAAGACUGACGUGCCUAUUUUACUCCUAACGAUCUUGAUGAUUGCUUAUCUUUGUAUUCCCUACUCGAUUUGGAAUGAUGGAAGAUCAAUGCAAAGAUUUUCUAGACCCACAGGGGGUCUACGAAGAACAUAAUCUUUGGCUGGCAAACCCGCUGGAAUAUUCUACAGUACUGGGUCCCAAGGUGGUCGUCAGGAAACAACUGUAGACGGUGUGGGUGAAUGCAAUAAAGGAUGGUGAUGCUUGGGGAUGACUAGGGACGUCCAGGAAAGUUUAGCAUCCUAACUCGUUGUGGUCCAAAUAACUAUCUUGAUUUCUUUGGAGAACUUAGUAAGUUGCAGCAAACUGGAAGUGUUGAAGACUAUCAAAAUCAAUUUCAAAAGUUAUUAGCAAAAUCAGGUUCAGUACCACAAACCAGGCAAGUAAGUUUAUUCGUUAGUGGGUUGCAGGCAAAUAAACCAACAACACUGUCAGAAUCAAUUGGGUUGGCACGUUUGUUUGAGGCUCGUGAUAAGUCACAAGUGUUUGUUGUUACUCCAACAACAACUCAGGGAAAAAUUCCAGUAAGGCAGUUAACUACUUUGGAGUUACAAGAACGUAAGAAACAAGGACUAUGCUUCCAUUGUGAUGAGAAGUUCAGGCCGGCACAUCACUGCAAAAAUCUUUUUAUGAUUACUCCAGUGAUUGAAGAAAAAGAUGAAGAACUUUUCAUGGAGACUAACAGUCCAUAGCCUUGAGGACAGGGCUUUAAUUAUGGGAGGAGGAGUUGUUACAGUCAAUUUAAUGUUUGGUUUUGUUAGUCUUGUUGUUAGUCCUGUUUUGUUAGUGUUUGAAUUUCAUUUACUCAGUAGGAGUUGUUAGUCGUGAAUAAGUAAAGGAAAUCUGAUUUACCAAGUCAGAUUCAGUAAGUUACACCAUGUUUGUUUACUCCUGACUCAUCUGAGUCGUCUGGAUCUGAAUCAUCUGGAUCUGAGUGAAAUCACCUGACUCAUCUGGAUCUGAGUCGAUAUGUUUGUUUUGAGUCAGAUCUGACUCAUCUGACUCGGAAAUAAGUGAGUCAGUGGUUUGGUCCCAUGAGUCAGGGGUAUUUUGUUACCUGACUCAAAUGAGUCCGAGUCAGGGUUAUGUCUGAGUCAUAGGUCGAGUCAGAUCUGACUCAAAAUGGAAAACAAACGGUCUGACUGCUGACUCGGUCCGAGUCAGGGAUUGACUCAGAUUCAGACGCCGAGUCAGCUGCAAACAAACAAGUUUAGUCUUCCUAGUUAGUAAGAGUUAAUGUUUAUCAUGUUUUAGUGGAAGUAGUUUUCCCUAGUCUUUAGGAUCUAAAGAGUCGUGGGUAUAUGUAUCCUUUAUUUAAAGAUAUUGGAAAGUAAUGAAGGAUAUGGUUUUAAGUUUU